AUUGAACGCUGGCGGCAUGCCUAACACAUGCAAGUCGAGCGGAUGAAGGGAGCUUGCUCCUGGAUUCAGCGGCGGACGGGUGAGUAAUGCCUAGGAAUCUGCCUGGUAGUGGGGGAUAACGUCCGGAAACGGGCGCUAAUACCGCAUACGUCCUCAGGGAGAAAGUGGGGGUUCUUCGGACCUCACGCUAUCAGAUGAUCCUAGGUCGGAUUAGCUAGUUGGUGGGGUAAAGGCCUACCAAGGCGACGAUCCGUAACUGGUCUGAGAGGAUGAUCAGUCACACUGGAACUGAGACAAGGUCCAGACUCCUACGGGAGGCAGCAGUGGGGAAUAUUGGACAAUGGGCGAAAGCCUGAUCCAGCCAUGCCGCGUGUGUGAAGAAGGUCUUCGGAUUGUAAAGCACUUUAAGUUGGGAGGAAGGGCAGUAAGUUAAUAUCUUGCUGUUUUGACGUUACCAACAGAAUAAGCACCGGCUAACUUCGUG
rnacentral:rRNA from 1 species